rnacentral:lncRNA from 1 species
UCACCACCUCCGCUGCUCCAGCCUCCACUCCGCCAUCACCUCUGCUCCACCUCCACUCCGCCACCACCUCCGACAUCAUCAUCAACAUCACAAACAAAACCCCCACAUCAAAACCCCCAAAACGAAAACCCUAAAAUCGAAAACCCUAAAUCGAUCGGAAACGAACACCCCAAAUCGAUCAAAGUUCAGCGAGUCCGGUCGACCUCAUGUUCAGCGACUCCGGCCAGAUUGUAGAGAGAGAGUAGAGAGAGAGUGGAGGUGCAGAUUGUCUGUGUGGUGUGUGUUAAAACCUAGAAGAAGAAGAGGUUUUAUAUAAAAGAAAAAACAAACCCUCUUCUCCUUACAGACUGAAGACAUUUGGUCCACCUCUUC